GUGUCCAGUGUCAGCUGUGGGGCCAGAGUGUCCUGGACACAUUGGCACCAUGACCGGGACUCCUCUCCUGCUCCUGCUCCUCCUCACCCUCUGCCCAGGGUCCAGCGCUCAGGCUGUGGUGACCCAGGAGCCAUCACUGUCCGUGUCUCCAGGAGGGACAGUGACGCUUACCUGUGGCCUUAGCUCUGGGUCAGUCUCCAAUAGUCACUACCCUAAGUGGUUCCAGCAGACCCCAGGCCAGGCUCCCCGCAUGCUCAUCUACAACACAAACAACCGCCCCUCUGGGGUCCCUGAGCGUUUCUCUGGAUCCAUCUCUGGGAACAAAGCCGUCCUCACCAUCACGGGGGCCCAGCCUGAGGACGAGGCUGACUAUUACUGUGCUACAGAGCAUGGCAGUGGGAGCAGCUUCCAUCUCUCACAGUGACUCAGAUGACGAGGAAGUGAGACAGAAACCCCUGGGCCCAGAGGUUAUGCUCUGAGCGUCACGGGAGCUUCUGUGGGGGCCUCUGCAGUCAGAAACGUCCAUGGAAGGGGGCGGAGCAGCACACAGUCAUGAGUGAGAGCACAGGGCGUCCCGGGUCACUCUCGCUGAAGGGGUGAC